GAAGACACGACGUCUACACGGCGUGAGGAUGACAUCAACAGUAGCCUCUUCCAACGUUCACGAAUAUACGAUGAAUACACGAUAAAGUUCACCUCUGCGCUAUAGUGCAUCGUUUUUGGCUUUUUCUUCUCCCGUACGACAAAGCCACCUGCCAUUUUCGUCCUCACAGCAUGAGAUCAUGUCACAUCGAGAGUCCAUGUUGAGGAGUCGAUCAAGAGCGUCCAUCUCCCCUUUCCUCUUCAAGAAUAGUUUGAAAUAUUCAGAAAAGGGUGUCUGCCUUUUUUGGUGAAAAGCUUUUGAAUUUCUAGCUUGGGAUGGGGCCUGGGUUCUUCUUCCGAUUUUACCCUUUUCCGUCCCAAAUUCAUAAUCCUGGCAGCCCCUUUAUAUGUAUUUUUUGCUUCUCGUUCUGGGAGGAGGUUUUUUUUUGGCAAGAGAUUUUUGAGGAGGAAAUUUUGAACUAAUAGAAAAACUAGACUGAAAGAAGAAUUGAGGAUAAUAGUAAGAAAGUAUUAGCUAAAAAAUCAGGAAGACGUUCAAGGCUGAGCUCGUUCUAGUUUCAGUCGAGACCUCAUAUUAUCACUCUGUUCCCGUCUCUUUAGUCUAGCCUCACUUGAGGCUUGGGUCGUCAUCUUCGCUCGUCUUCGUGUCCCACUUUCGCUGCUCAAGGAAAGAAAGCUGCAAAGGCUUAAAUUUUUUCCAUUUUGAGUCAAUCAUCCCUUAAACUAAUGAACAUACCAUGGAGCGAAAUUUGAAGCAAACCAAGGAGUGGAAGAAGUUGGGUCAAGAAGCCCACAUUAUUUUAUUCUUUACUUUGUAUUUUGUAAUUUUGGGUUCUAAGCCCUUGUUGUAUUUCUUUUCUGCAUUUUUUUUUGUAAUAGGCUAAGGACAGGUGGAAUGGGUCAAAGGCCCAAAAGUCAAAUGGGUCAAAAACCCAAAACAGGUGGGUCCAAAUUUCUGGUCCAGACAAACAGAAACUGGUUUGGACCCAAUCUCUCUCUCUCCCCUUAUUUGAUUAAUUACUUGUUAUAUUUGUCGUUAGUUGUAAGGCUAAGGAAUUCAUAUCCCCGCAAAUAUAGUAAAUAUUUUAUCAACUUAAAACUAA